GGGAAAGAGAUGGAGAAGGAGAGAAGGAGGGGGGCCUGCUGAGGGGUUUUGGAAGGAAAACCAAACUUGGGACAAUGGAUGCAGGAGAAGAAGAUGCUGACAGAUUUCACGGAAGAGGGCAGCUUUCGCUUUUCCUGUUUGUUUUUCGCCUCUGUUUUCGCUCUUGCAGGGCAGCCCAGUUUUUAUCCAUCCACCUGCUGUUUCACUGUCAAAGGACCUCGGGACGGCGUGUCGUCUUUCCACUUUCCCAAAGAAGAGCACAAUCCGGGCUUAACAAAGCCCAACAAAAGAGUCUCAGCUGCAGCCCUCUCUCCCUUUCCCUCCUCUCUCCCCAAUUCCCUCCUGUCCCGUCCGCAGAUUUCAUCUGUCCGUGCCAUUAUCAACUCUGCUUGAGUGCUGAAUGCCAGCUCCACACUUAUCAAGCCUGCUGAUCAUUACUGAAGGAGCCAUUUUGUUGGAUUUAUAUUUUUGUGGUUUGGAAUUUGUUUGAUCACAAACUUCUAUGGUUACUUUUAUUUUGAAAAUCUAUUCUGAAUUGGAUCCUGCAAUUGGGCAGACCUGUGUAUAAAUGGGAGGUGGUGAUAUUUGUAGGCUUGUGGGGAAUGGGGAAUGCUAUUUUUUUGUCAUAUAAACAGUUGAAAUUGUACUUCCCUCUAGGGUCUUUCAGCGAACUUAUUCCUGGUUAUGGGUAUGCACUUUGUUGUACGUCGCUCUGGAUAAGAGCG